CUUUACUGUAGCCUGAUAUUGGGUUCGGGCUUUGACUGCGCAGGAUAGGUGGGAGACUGAGACCUUGUGCUUGUGGGCACAAGUGAGUCAACGGUGAGAUACCACUCUGUCAGAGCUAGAAUUCUAACCUAUCGCCGUUAUCCGGCAUGGGAACAGUAUCAGGUGGGCAGUUUGACUGGGGCGGUCGCCUCCUAAAAGGUAACGGAGGCGCGCAAAGGUUCUCUCAGGCUGGUUGGAAAUCAGCCGUAGAGUGUAAAAGCAUAAGAGAGCUUGACUGUGAGACCCACAGGUCGAACAGGGACGAAAGUCGGCUUUAGUGAUCCGACGGCACUGUGUGGAAGGGCCGUCGCUAAACGGAUAAAAGUUA
rnacentral:rRNA from 1 species